ACGCUCGACACCUACGGGGGCAGCAGUGGGGGAUAUUGCACAAUGGGGGAAACCCUGAUGCAGCGACGCCGCGUGAGUGAAGAAGUAUUUCGGUAUGUAAAGCUCUAUCAGCAGGGAAGAGAAUGACGGUACCUGAGUAAGAAGCCCCGGCUAACUACGUGCCUAGCAGCCGCGGUAAUCUGAGGCGGGCUGGCAAGGC
rnacentral:rRNA from 1 species